rnacentral:lncRNA from 1 species
AAAAAAAUUAGUAUUUUUAUUCAGCAGCACAUGCAUUGCAUCCCAAUCAAAGUUUUCUUUGCGAAACUGGAAGGAACAAACCAGGUUCCGGUCUCGAGAAACUCCCCCACAUCUCGUGCGGAGACGUGCAUCGUUUACCAAAAAUCGUUUGGGGCACCGGACGCACCAUGCUUCGUAUGGGCAAACGCAAAUCACACUUCGCCGGCCACAUGGGUUUUUGUUUUGAUUUUCUCGGUAGUCUUAUUUGGUUGAAUUUGGAUACUUUUCUCUCCGUUUGGAAAUGUGCAUUUGUUGCAAGUGAUGAAUUGGUUGGAUGGUUACGAUCUUUCUUUUUAAUUUAUGAAAUUUUGAGUUCAAAUUCUUUUUUCUUAACGUAAAUUAGUUGCAAUUGAUCCUAGUCAAACAAUUAAUAACUUUUUUGAUCUCGUAAUUAUUCUCUUCCUAAUGUAGGAAGAUAUGAACUUUUGAGUCUCCCCUUUCUUGAUUAGAAAAAAAUACGUGAUCAUAGCCUAAAAUCAAGUUAUUCCAAGGGAAAGAAUUUCAUUACACUCGGUGCACCAUUUUUUUAUUUAGUGUUCAUCUAGAGGAUUUAAUUUACGACUAUCUUAUAACUUCGUGAUAAAAAAAAAAUACUAUUAAAAUAAGGGCAUGUUUUAAUUAACAAAAAUGUGAAAAUAAAAGAAUUAGAAAACUUAGACAUAGGAUCAAUUAGCCACUUGUUGAGUUGAGUCAUGAUUUUUAGGUAUUUGUACGAAUUUUGAAGAAAAACAUACACUUUUUCGAUUCCAUAUGUGUACAAAUAUAAGUGAAAGUUAAGGAGUGAAAUGAUUUUCAUA